rnacentral:rRNA from 1 species
UGAGGAAUAUUGGUCAAUGGACGAGAGUCUGAACCAGCCAAGUAGCGUGAAGGAUGAAGGUUCUAUGGAUUGUAAACUUCUUUUAUACGGGAAUAAACGGAUCCACGUGUGGAUUUUUGCAUGUACCGUAUGAAUAAGGAUCGGCUAACUCCGUGCCAGCAGCCGCGGUAAUACGGAGGAUCCGAGCGUUAUCCGGAUUUAUUGGGUUUAAAGGGAGCGUAGAUGGGUUGUUAAGUCAGUUGUGAAAGUUUGCGGCUCAACCGUAAAAUUGCAAUUGAUACUGGCAGUCUUGAGUACAGUUGAGGUAGGCGGAAUUCGUGGUGUAGCGGUGAAAUGCUUAGAUAUCACGAAGAACUCCGAUUGCGAAGGCAGCUUACUAACCUGUAACUGACAUUGAUGCUCGAAAGUGUGGGUAUCAAACAGGAUUAGAUACCCUGGUAGUCCACACGGUAAACGAUGAAUACUCGCUGUAGGCGAUAUACGGUCUGCGGCCAAGCGAAAGCAUUAAGUAUUCCACCUGGGGAGUACGCCGGCAACGGUGAAACUCAAAGGAAUUGACGGGGGCCCGCACAAGCGGAGGAACAUGUGGUUUAAUUCGAUGAUACGCGAGGAACCUUACCCGGGCUUAAAUUGCAACCGAAUAUGGCGGAAACGCUAUAGCUAGCAAUAGCGGUUGUGAAGGUGCUGCAUGGUUGUCGUCAGCUCGUGCCGUGAGGUGUCGGCUUAAGUGCCAUAACGAGCGCAACCCUUGCCGAUAGUUACUAACAGGUUAUGCUGAGGACUCUGUCGGGACUGCCAUCGUAAGAUGUGAGGAAGGUGGGGAUGACGUCAAAUCAGCACGGCCCUUACGUCCGGGGCUACACACGUGUUACAAUGGGGGGUACAGAGGGCUGCUACCACGCAAGUGGAUGCCAAUCCCAAAAACCUCUCUCAGUUCGGAUUGAAGUCUGCAACCCGACUUCAUGAAGCUGGAUUCGCUAGUAAUCGCGCAUCAGCCACGGCGCGGUGAAUACGUUCCC